rnacentral:lncRNA from 1 species
AAUGUCACCCAUCUUGAUCAUGCCUCUCACAAAAUCUGCGAAAAAUGCGCUUUGGCUACUAACAUACGAUUGGACCUGCGCGUCGGUGGCUCCACCGUUGAAGAGCUCCUGAUCGGAGUGCAGAAGUCCCUUCUUGCUAACAAGGUUCUUGUAGUAGUUGUUCUCAAAGACGGUCGGGGUUUGAAGGUCCAGAGGUGCCAAGUUGUUGUCACCUGUACCUGAGGUGCUAGGGCAGCCUGAUUGCCUAGUCCCUGCUAAGGCGCCAUCGAUGUUGGUUUCAUUGUAUACGUGGGCUCUGAAGUUGGUGCAACGUGCUAGGCCUAUGGUGUGAGCACCUGCCAAAAUCAAGAGGCCGAUCAAGAUUCCAAGUAGGUUAUGAUAUUAAUCUAGCUAGUAUAUCAAAAGAAUGGAAGAAAUGAAUGAUUGACCUAUUUUUACUUAUUCUGCAAAAUAAAUUGCUCGCUAUACAUAAUCAUAUUACAAGUUUAUAACAUUUUUUUUUGAAACAGGUGGUUGUUGUUGAUUCUGUAAAUAUAUAAGAGACAAAAGAGUAUUCGAUUCUAGUUAUGAAGCGACAUAAAAAAAGGAACAAUUUGUGUGGUUGCAGUUAACUAGCUAGCUACGAUGAUGGACUUUAUGCUUGCCUUCAGUAUAGCAUCGAAUUGACAUAUCCGAUGGUUGAUUGAUCAUCUUUCAACUUUCUUUUAUAACAUGCAAAAAGCAUAAGCUUGUACACACAACUUUCUUUUUCUUCCAGAUGAAACCCGUACCGGCCGACAGCAUCUGUGGCAUCGUCGUUGUCACCUUUUACAAACUUUAUUAUGUCAUUCCGUCCAUACCUAAACUAACUAGAUCUCGUGCUAGACGUGUUAUAUGUUAGUAACCGACAGUUAAUUAAGCUUCAUCUGGUCAAUUCACCAACAGGCCAGGUAAAUGAUCCUGUGUCACGGACUCACGGAUUGAUAUACAAGUAUAUGACGACGGUUAAAGUCAAAACUGAGCUAUCGAUUCCGUUGGCGAUUUAUCUAAUCUCUAAAGCUAUCUUUGUUGAAAAGCAAAGUGUGGAGUUUUCUUUAUUUUCUCAUUCUACAGUUGAUAUCCAAAAAGAUGCCAUCCAUAGUUGAAGUUGAACAUGUCUAAGUAGGAAUUUGUGCAAGAGUUUAGCCUGACGACGUACCAGAGAGCGCGACCAUGUCCUUUUGGGAGAGUCCCUGCGCGGCGAAGAGGGAUGUCAGGUUGGCGAGGCCCGACGUCGGCGGUGGGAUGCUGUUGUUGGCUCCACUGAAGCUCGCCGUCGUCGAGUCCCUCCUCCCAACCUUGACGUUCCAGUUCGGCCCGCCAAGCUGCAUGUGCGAUCAGUUGAGAUGGAGUUGCGACAUGCAUGUUGUUACUGCCAAUCAAGUUCAUCAUCAGCUAGCUUCACACUUACGAUGACGACGCUGUCCCUCGCCGCGAUGGCGAGGAUGUCGGCGCAGGAGACGACGCCGGGGCAGACCUUCUCGACGGCGGACUUGAUGGCAUCGAUGACCUCGAAGCCUCUCACGGAGCCGUUGUUUGGCGUCGCCAUCUUCUCACCCUGGAAGCUGGGCGUGUCAUCCAGCAGCAGCGACCCGUCGCAACCCUGACACGCAGUUGUAGGUCAUCAAGUUGAUCAGCUAGUAAGUAAGUUUGAGUGAUCAGUACUAAUUCAUCAUGAUAUCAGUAGAAGUACUUGGACGAAGCAGUCGUGGAAGAAGAGGCGAACGAUGGAGGCGCCCAUGCGCUUCUCCUUGUCGAUGGCGGACUGCACCACCGACUUGACGGCGCUGUACACGCCGGGGCAGGAGCUGGAGUAGAAGCCGGUGGACAGCUGCGCCGACGAGGUGCCGGCCAGCGCCAGGAGCAACAGUACGAAAGCGAUGCCGCCGCCGCUGCAUCUUGCAGCCAUGGUGCUCGAUCGUCUGACUGGGUGUGAGCUGCUAGCAAGAUAUGCAGGGAGAGCAGAGUGCGUGCUUGUGUCCUGCCUGGAGCUAGAUAGCCUGGACGGCAUCGAUAUUUAUGGCAGAAACACCUGGAGUCGGUCUGUAGUAUAGACCAUAGUAUCCGCCGAUCAUAUAUGAUUAGGUUACAUCAUGCAUGUGUAUCGUCGUUGGUGUCACCACCUACUCCGCCUGUUGGACUUUGAGUUGAAAAGGAAAGCAUGCGUGCGUGUUGGCCGCGCAGGAAUCACGCGUUUCAGACCAUGCAUAGCCCUUGUUUCAGAUGCAAGGGCUCGAGGCAAGGCCUGAUCGCGUUGCCGGCCGGCCUCCUGCGACUUUGUAAAAGAGCAUAACGGUAUCCCUGUAGACCACUGAUGAAUGGGAACACUUGGACCUCUCUGCUUGCAUUGGUAUCGAACGAAGCAAACUGCAGGCCGACACGGUUACGUACGUAAAGAUCCAUUCCUUUCUGCCACUGCAUGCUGCAUUUACUACUUGCUUUCUAUGCUGCACAUCGUUCCGGAAGCACGCGUACUCCGCGUUGUCGUAAUGCAAUUCUGGUGAACUGAUCGAGUUUCUCGUCAGCAGGAGCACUUUGAUUUUUAUAAGGUUCGUUUGAUUGAUUCUUCACAGUUAAUCCAGCUGCUGUAAAAGAAUUCCUUCUGCUGGUCAUCAACAUCAUUCAUGCUGCAGACAUGCAUGGGCAAUGGUCAAUUUUGUGUGGCACUGACCUAGUAGUUACUAUUCAGCUGUGUAAAAGUCUCCUUUCUACCUUACAAACCUGAUACUAUAUCUUAACAACUCUCUACCACGUAUUAGGAUAAAAAAUAUGCUAUGCCCCAUACAUGUUCUGCUUUUCCCUAAAGUCGUCAUGGAUGGUUAGUGGCACACACCAUACUGCAUACAUGGCCAGGAUGGUCUAACAGUCUCUACUCUGUAGAAUGUUUUGCUUCGAAGUUAAGUUGUUGGGGAAUAGGACAAGCAUAUACAUCCAAAUUUUCGGAGCAGCUCAACCCUGCAAAGUUCUAAGAUGCGUGCAUUGCCUGCACCAGAAUGUGUCAUUGUAAUAGUAUUUGUUUGUCAUUGUUUGGUUAAAAAAAACAUGAUAAAGUAAUUAGGUACGGUUUCGCUCUUACACAGGACAUGAAAAUAUAAAAAUUGACGGUACUAAACAGAUAUGCGUGCUUUUCAUUUCGUCAUGGCGGUACUGAUAGACAGAUAAAAUGUCGCUCCUCUGACUGGGUGAGCCACUGUUGCUUGAGCUGAAGCAAAGCCUAAAACUGUAGGCUAGUGUAGUGUAGGACAGCAUGAGGUGUUGUGGUUCUGGUGAAUUAAUGGGAACACUUGGACCUGUAGGAUCCAAGCAAACUGCUGUUCGGUAAGGUAGCAGUUCAGCUAUUGUGCUACGCAUGUUGCCCAUCAUUCCAUCUGAUGUAAUUAAUUUAUCUUUAUUUUUAGUUCGAGGUUUAUGCUCCUAUUAGUUUCUGUCAUCCCAAUGGAUUAGUGUUUUUGCAAGUUCCAAAUGGUCAAGCAUGAUGGGGGCAAGAAUUUCCUCUUGCUGGCCUGCUGGAAGAAGCAUUCUGGUCGUCCAUAUCAUAGAUGCUGCUGCCUUGCAUAUGGCAGUGACUAAUAGUCAGUUCCAGAGUCUACCUUCAACGUUACAAGGGAGUAUUUAUCAUGACGGAAAAAAAUAUGAUAUUUCUCUCAUGCUCUGUUUCUCCAAAAGUCAUCAUGCAUGGUUAGUAAUUAAUCUCCAUUAUUUGUUUUGUCACAAUAACAUAUGGACAAGAGUCAGCAGUAGUCCCCAGUCACAAUAACAUACAUGGCAUAUACUUCCACAACAUCAGGAAAGUUCAACCCGUGACUUUUCUAGUUUCUAGAAUAUAAUGCCUCGACAAGAACCAUCUGCUUGCCUAUGUUUCUGUACUUUUUUUGUUUUGAAAAUCGUUUGGUCAAGGAAUAUGGUGAAGUCAUUAGGUAUGCUUCACUGUACACACAUGCAACCACCCUCUUAGGGCCCUGGUCACUUGGAACUCAAGCAGUAGGAGCUAGGACUGUUAAAUCCUUUUCAAUAGUUCUAGCUUUGCUGCUUAUGUGUCUUGCUUCAAUUCAAGGGAAUCUAAAGUACAGAAAGAGAUUCCAGAUGGUACCUGAUUUUAACAGUGAUCAAGCUUUGUAAACAUCAACCGUAUGUGGAAAUGAUUUGGGUAUCUUUAUUAAAAGGUAUCUUGUUAUUUUAACUUCAAGUAGGCUUUACAGGUAAGUACAUCACCAUAUGAAAAUUGAUGGUUCGAUCAAUCAUGUUUUGAGGGCAGUGAAAAGUUACAGUAUUGCAGUUAUUUUUGUCUAAAGGAAGUAGUUUAGUUUGACGGUGAGUUGCUUCUGGGCACUAAAAUGUAACUUUUUUUUCUUUUGCUUUGCGUGCACGUGCCACAUGGUACCACAAUUGUCGAGAGAAAGAGAUCCAUGCGGAAGCAUGUUAACUUCGGUCUUGAAGCACGCAUGUACAUGUUGUUUCCUCUCAUUUUAACAUGAAAGGAUAGAAGGUAUAUAUUUUUUUAAUAAAGAAAAUAGUUUCCGGCAUCUGCGACCACACAUAUCCAAUUUCUUACAUCGUCUUCAGCCAAAAAAUAAAGAGAAAUUAAGUACACAGAGUACGUGGCAUAAUAACUAAUUAAACAGAUGAAAUGUCGCUGACCUGCAGAGAUUUCGUGUUGAUCGAUUGGUUCAAGAGUAGCCAUCACGUGUAGCACGUAUCAUAGUAACAGGUCUCUGCAGGUGACCGGUUUAAUCAUCAUCUGCAGUUGCAGAGCAUUACAGUACUGAGUUCUAUGUAUUAUAUCUGAUAUAUGCUGUGUGCCUGUGUCUUAGUGGCCAGUAUUUUGCAUUCCUAUAUAGUUAGUACGUGCUGAUCGACGGAUGCCGCGAGGAUGAGAGAGACUGUAGGUUGAGUUCAUGACAUUGACUGCAUAUCUGACGCAGUACUCCACACCUAAAAGAUGGAUUAUGAUAAACAAAAUUUGAUCAAGUAAGGUAAACUAGCUCUACCAAUGGAAUCGAAUCAUGCACACAUUCAUCAGAUACAUAAGAACUGGACAGCUGCAGCAUAACAGAUAAUGAUAAAUUUGCAGGUUCCAUCAUAUGCAUGGAUGUGGACAUGUGGUGCUCACUGCUGAGACCUAAAAUUGCAUCUGUAUGGACGCCGACCUUGCUUUCUCCGGCAGCAUACAGCUGCUCAUGUACUCGAUCGUAUGGCUAGGCCAGACAUGUGCAUGGUUUUGUACAGCGACACUUGGAGGAGAAAUCAAAGACACUAGACAUUCAUCUCACAUCUUUCUGACUUGUUGGGCACUGGGGUGCAAUAAUAGCUGGUGCAUUAUUACAUUAGGAAAACAAAUAUUUAAAUUGAUAAUGCUGAUAGCAGAUUGUACAUUGAACUGACAAGCCUGACAUGGAUUAUUGACUAACCCACCUAAAAGAUGAUAAACAAAGUUAAGGGAGUAAGGUAAGCUAGCUCUACUACCAAUCAAAUCGAAUUAUAUGCAGAAAUGAGGAUCAGAAUUCAGAACCGAGCAGCUAGCUGCUGCAGAGACAGGGUACAGAAUUACAGAAAGCUGCCCGACAGUAGGUGAUGGAGACUUCUGCAUAUACCUCAUCAGAUGCAGACGAUUGGAAGAGUAGGUGAUGAUCGUCGUCGUCGUCGUGCAUGGCAAGCAGCUGUAUGAUUUUGACACCUUUGGACGCCGGCCGGCCUUUUAUGUCAAUGGCAAGCAAAAUUAUGUUACAGCAAAACCCAAGCUCCUUUUGUCAAUGGGCAGUUUGACAAACGGUGCACCUGACCUAGCUGUAUGUACGAUCGAUUUUGACACUUCAUUUUCUAUGCCGCUGCUCUACGCUUCAACCAACCGAGAGCAUGCAUGUUGAAGCUAACAACGUCAUUGUACUUUUCUUCAUGGAACCAUGGCGCACAUGCAUGCACGCAUAUAUGCAGUUUGACAAAUUUGAUCAUGUAACCGGACCGUGAUGAGCAUAUUGAUUUUUCAUGGUUUAGCGACCAUGAAAGAUAUUUUUUCAACGAGCCACAUGCCAAUAAUAAUAAUAAUAAUCCAUAUUAGAUUAUGAUCAUGUUUGGAAUGGGUUAAACUUAUUUUUUUUACAGCUCCCCAAGUGAGAGCACCUUCAACAGACUAUUCAUUUUUUCUCUAUAUAUUGAGUUGACUGUCUAUCCAAGUUAUAAAAAUAUUCCUCUCUAGGUUGAGUUGAUCGAGAUCCAUUUACUGCUCUCCGAAUCCCAACGGCUAGUCGGCGGGCGGCGCGCUCGCCGGCGGAGCUCUGGGGCAGAAGCUCGUCGGUGGAACUCCGGAAGGAAGACGGCGGCGUGCUUGCCGGCGGAGCUCUGGGAGGAUGACUGCGGCGUGCACGAAGCUUGGGGCGGCGUGCCCGUCGGCGGAUAUCAGGGAGGAAGACGCCGCCGAGCUCGGGAGCGGCGGGCGGCGUUAGCAGAGGCGGAGGGCGGCGCGCUCGACGGCGCAGAGCUCGGGAGCGGCGGGCGGCACUGGCUCGGGGCCGAGGACGACGUGCCCGUCGGCGGUGCGCGGACGGGUAGGGAAGAAAAGGUGGGGAAAAAAGCCAACAAGCCGGAUGCGGUCAGAGCUUUUCGAGUUUGACGUUAUAACGGAAGAAUCGCUUUUUACUAAGGCACGGUUUAUUUGAGCUUAUGCUUUUGCGUUUUUGUUGGAAAGUUACUUUUUUAAAAACUGGUUUUUUUUCUGACAUUCAACUAUUAGCUUUUGUAAUAAAUUUUUAUCUUCUCAGCACAUCAAAAGUUAGAAAAAACUCCUCUCAAUUAGCUUUCCAGCUUUCAGUUCAUCAGCUUUCUAGCUUUUAGUAGUCCAAUAGACUGUUUAUUUUAGCUUUUUAGUUUCUUGCUGCCGGAAGGCGGAAAGCCUAACCUGACGAGCUGAAACAAACAGCGCCUAAGCCGACGCCGACGAGAAGCUGCGCGUUUGGGAGGCUUCACAGCUUAAAAAUAAGUAGAAGCUGCAAAAUUUUGGCCCGUCUAGCUCCGGAUCGAUUUCAUUGGGUUUUGAGAUCACCUGGGCCGUGGCCCAUUAACUACCAGGAAUAGAGACAACCGCAGAGGAGUUAUCUGAUUUCUCUCUCCCGGAGGAGGAAAAAAAAGGAAAGGGAAAUAAUCGCUCCGGUGACCGGCGGCGAUUGGGACGGGAUGGACGGAGCCAAGCCACCGGCGGCGGCGGUUGGGAAGCAGGGGCUUGAAGAGGCGCUGCUCCAGAUCGUACAACAGCACCACCACCAAUCCCUCCGCCAACGCCAACAAACUGGUACGUCACUGCUCCAGAUUCCUCCUCGCUAAACAGAUUCCCCUUGGUUUGAUGAACGAUUUAACGAACAAUCAACAUUCCGUCCUUGCUGUUAGCGCAGAGAGAGCCAAGAAGGAUGCCCUGAGAAGCGCGGGGCACGUGGCCGAUCUCCUCGUGGACACGGUCGACGGAGGGGUGCAGGAGCUCUUCGUCAACGAGAAGAGCAUCGAGCUUGAGGCCCGCGCGCUGCUCAGCACUAUCGCGCGCCACAGGAAGCAGACGGACCGGUGGCUGGCUGCCACCAACGAGAUCAAUUCAGUGUUGAAGGUGACAAGCUAUUUAAUAACACUGAGCAGGGAAUUUGUUUUGCAUGUUCUGUGAUCAGUGAAGCUACAAAGAUGACAUGCUAUUAAUUACACUACCAUUCCUUUAGGCUAUUAAUUACAAAACACCCAAUCCAGUACUCUGUGAUUUCUGUUGUUGCUGAAGCAUCUAUUUUUUUAAAUUUUGUCUCUAGGAAAUUGGUGACUUCGAGAACUGGAUGAAGGUCAUGGACUUUGACUGUAAAAGUAUCAAUGCAGCGAUACGCAAUAUUCAUCAAUCAUGACUCUGCCUGCAAUCAUAGCUUUAGGAAGUAUUCAUGUCAUUAGAUACAUUCAUUCGAAUUGCGGGGCUGGAAACCCUCUUGUCUAGAACUGUUUCCUGUUUUUCCAUACAAAACUGUAAAAUGAAUCCUUGCAAAGCAUCUGUGCUAUGAGUACCAUCACUGAUCCCUUCAAUUUCAAAGUCAUGAUAUAUGAUCAAAAUACUUGUCAAUCUGAUUAAGUCUUCCUAAUGGUGUUAUUCUUGUGCCAUUAUGCGAACAACUUUUUCCAUGAGCUUGCAUGUUCAAGAUAGAUAGCGGCAACACUGAAAGGUAAGACCGGACUUAAAAUAUCCUUCAUGUCAUUUUAUUGCUUGCACAUGUAUGCUUUGAAAGCAGUGAAUACCUCUUUGGAGAAGACUACUGUAUCGUGAAAGGGGCACUUGUCCCUCCAAAGAUGAUUACAAGGUAAUAAACCACACACGAGCACAGGCGGCAAUAAUGUGAGUCCUAGUUUACCUUCCUGCAGUCCUAGUAUCGUGAAAGGUGAGCAGUUUUUCCAGUGAGGGGACUAAUGUUGCCCAUCUUUACCAUCGCUGCACUGAAAUCGGUGAAGAAUUUUGCCAUGUUUGAGGAGUAGGUGGUAGUCUGGGAGUCUGCUGAGCCUCCAUUGAACAAUUGCUGGGAGAACACCCUUCUUGUUCAGCAAGUUCUUGUAGUAGAAAUUGUCAAAAGCAUAGGGUGUUGAGGCAUCAAGGGGGGAGAUGUUAUUGUCACCAGUCUUGUUUGGACAAUUUGAUUUCAGUGAUGUUGCAAGGGAUGUGUCAAUGUUAGUUUCACUGUAAAUGCGGUUGCGGAAGUUUACACAUCUGGCUUGCCCAAUGGUGUGUCCUCCUGGAAAUUUUUCGUUGUGUCAGUCAGUAUUCAGCAGUACUAAUAUCCGCAUUCAACAUCUAGCUUUUGACUACUUUUUAUGAACGACUUAUAUGGUUGAUGAGAAAAUUUGCAAUCUUUCAGUACCUGAGAGUGCAAUCAUGCCAAUUGCAGUCAGUCCUUUGUUUGAGAAGGACUUGAUAAGAUCACUGAGGUCAAAGGUUGGCUUUGGAAUAUCACUGUUUGCAGCAUCUAGGCUUGCUGUCGUGAGUCCCUCCUUCCCAGGUUGACAACCCAAGUUGGCCCUCCAAGCUGAAGUAGAAAUUGUCAACUGAAUGCGUGAAACAUGCUUAGUCAAUCAGUUGCUGUAAAAUCUCUGAAUAUCAGAGUAUUGACUUUAAUAGUUUAGCUUACUGCUUCCUGAUGCUUUGUUUAAGUGAAGGUUUAUCAAUUUAUCAUAGCCUCUGAAACCUAAAGAGUUUUCCCAUCAUCAUUUCAGUUAAAAUAUUGGACAAGCACUACCUUUGUGGUUUGCCGCGUGUCGGUCAGAGUCAUAAACACUUCAAUAGUUAAUUUGUUAAACUAAUUUAAAUAUUCUUUUGAGUAAAUUGCACCCAACACUUCAAUAGUUAAUUUGUUAAACUAAUUUAAAUUUUCUUUUGAGUAAAUUGCACCCAACGUAUGACAACUUAUAUGCUAACAAGUUGCACAUGCAAAUUGAUACAUAAACUUGUUGGAUGUGUGCGUAUACGGUCUCAUGUAUGCUGUGCAUAUACGGUCUCAUGUACGCCACCGAGCCUAUUUUGUCACCAUCGCAGGCCACGCGGGUUAUAUCUCUGAUCAUAAAUACUAAUUUUGCAUGUGCCAGGUCAAUUUCGCCUUGAAUUUUCAUUCACUUCUAUAUUAUCAUUAUUAUUAUUAUUAUUAUUAUUUGACCGGAACUUCUAUAUUAUUAUUAUUAGGUUGGAUAAACUAUUCCAGAUUCAUGUUCUGGAACCUCAUGGUGUAUGUGGAAAUUGAGUACUUGCGAUAAAAAAAAGUGUUGCUAGUCCACAAUGGUGUCAUUUUUUCAUGCCAAGUUUAAAAAAUACACUACGCAAAGUUAGAUUAAAGAAAGACGCCAUGUCAAGGCCAAGAAUAUGAUUAAAAAAUAUGCAGCAAGUUAACAAAUGGAACAGAAAUACUAAUAUAAUCUAGAAUUGAUCUGGAAUGAUUCAUCCAAAGCAAACGUGACAUGGACAUGCAAAAUUAAUGCUUGUGACCUAAUCUACAGUCCACGCAGCCUGCGAUGGUGGCAAAAUACACUCGGUGGUGUACAUGUGACCGUAUAUGCACACAUCUAACAAGUUCAUGUAUCAAUUUGCAUGGUUUGCAAAUUUUCAUAUGCACCUAGAUAUAUACUUAUAUCUAGAUACAUAGCAAAAGUGAUGCAUCUAGAAAAGCCAAAACCAAUAGUAAUCUGGGACGAGUAUGUCAAAAGUACGACAUAGAGUUGAGCCAUUUAGAAAAUGCUGCUGAGUGGGGAGUUCUGGGUUAUGACUUGGCCAAGCAAACCAUUAACAACAGUGUUGGCAAAUUAUCGUCAAAAAGCCAAAGGAAGUGUCUCCUAGUUGGAGUGGCUGUACAUAUCAUGUGAGUGAGUCCUGAGUAUCGAUCAGUUCGGCCAUAAGCUCGAUCUCAGGUGUGAACCAUUUCGAGUGGCCGGAUCUUGCUUUUUCAACAAACUGAGCGUAAAAUAAUGAGAGAGAUAAUAAGAUACUAGAAAAAUUCAUAGCCAACUUCAUUUUUUUCAUAACUGGAGAUCCCCCAAACUUUGUAAGCUUCUCUUGAUUUUGAAAUCUCUCCUUUUUUUUUUAGAAUUCCAGGGGAGGACCCCCCCCCCCCCCCCCCCCAGUUCGAUUGCGUUGCAAAAGAACAAAGUAGCAAGGUUUUAGCACAUAGUAGUGUUUACAAGCUUGUUCAGACUCAUUACAAAAGAGAUAUCAGGCAUCAGGCCUCCGAUGCACGACGCUGUGAUCUCACCAGCUUCCAUCAUCUUCCAUGGCACAGCUCCUCAAGAUGAUCCACUCAUCUUGAUCAGCUCUGGUCUGGCCACCAGCCAUUCCAACUUUGCCAAGUACACCGCGUGCUGCUCCAAUUGCUUCACAGGGCGUAGCACACCCCAAUUCCUGAACAUAGCAAGUAGUGCCGGCCGCCAGACUUGCCGCAAGCCGCGCCAGGUCCCAUCCUGAAAACAGAAGUUGUUUCGCAAUUUCCAAAUGCUCCACAGAGCAGCAGCAUACAACAUAUUUGUCACACCAUGUUUUUUCCCACAUAUCCAAAGUUUGGCAAGGGACUCACAGUUUGACACUACAGCUAAACCUGUACAUUCAGCAAGGGAAAUCUCUCCUUUUCUUUUGUUGUUACUAUUUGUUUUGAAGGAUUUCCCUCUGGAUUGAGUAUGGUGCUUCUUUAAUUUGGUGGUAAUAUUAUGUAUCUCUAUUUUAGUAUGCGGUUUAUUAUAUUUCUUGCAUGAACUGAUGAUGUAGGCAGAAAAGAACCAACGAGAAAAUGAGAGAAAAGUGCGUUUUCCCGAAAAAAAAAAGAAUGCAGGUUGGAGAAUGGCGAUACCUAUAAUAUCUGGCAUGCAGAGACUAUGAAAGAAGGAACAGGCCAGCCAUGCCUUUACAGUGGUUACAGUCCAUCCAACAUUCUAGAAUCUUUUUUGUUUGUUUGUUUGUUUGUUUUUACCGUUUUUCCUUGUUGGACCAUGAUAAUGUCAGUGAGAAAACUGGCCAAAGAUCCAGGUUCACUGUGCAGAUUUUACUUGACAGAGUCAUCUGAGACUAAAGUGAACAUGUAUUGAUAGUUCUGAUUGUAGCUUAAGGAUGACAGUUAACAACAGCAACCGAGGAACGUGUGAUAAUUUCACUGAAACUAAGCGCUUCAUUGCAGUUGCAGAUGGAAUAAUUUGACAUAUGGAGUCAGGGUGCUGGGCUGGAUGCCUGGAUGUGAUAUGGUAGACAGCGGCAUCUGGUCACAGCUGCACACACAUAUACUGGUGAACUGAAAUUCUUCAGUGGCAGGGCAGUAGUGCUGCACCACCAAAAUCGCAGAGUACAGUUUCCAUCUUGGACUCAUGCAGAGAAACAUCAAUGUCUUUUGCUCUGUCUAUUUGAUGUCAGGAAUCUUCUUCGCAGCGACCGGGGCGUCCCGUUUGACGCUGCUUUAGAAUUUGCUCUACGGAAAUUCUGCUGUUUUAUGCAGUGGAAUCACUUUGACGCUGCUGAUUCCAAACUUUUGCUGAAUUCUAAAGAAAUCUUUGAAACUCGGGAACUUUUUGCGGAGAUUAGAUUUUCUUCUGUCCAAAGAAGCUGCUGAAUCGAACUAGCCCUGAAUGUGCUGUGUGCUCUGGGGGAGUGGAUGAUCACAUCAUAGCUUCAAAUUGCAAUCGCCAGAGUGUAGCGCCAAAUUUUGGGGCCUGGACACAGAGAGAUGGCUACCAAGAUCCAAGAACAGCCGGCAGCUUGGCGGCGACGACGAUGACGGACGGUUCGGCGGCUAUGUUCUGCAACAGAUAGAGCUCGUGUCAUCUGCAGCAGCAUCGAUUACUCGAGGACGGCGCAGCAAGGAGACUCGAGUCGAUGUCGGCUGGGAGUAGCAGUGGCGGAGGAGAAACGGACGCGCCAGGAAGAUCCGGUUGGCGAGGGGGACGAACGGAGAUCUGGAGGAGGACCGCCGCUCCCUUCCCGACGACGAGGCGAGGCCGACGUCGCCGGAGCCGUGCGGGGAAGGAGGCACGAGGGGCUAUUUUGCAAAUAAGUUGGAUCGCGACUAAUAAUCGCGAUCCGAUUCAGGAGGUUUUAUGUAAAUAGUUGGACCGCGAUCAAUAAUCGCGAUCCAAUUUAGGGGUGUUAAUGUAAAUAAGUAGGGGGUUUUGUGGAAAUAUUUGGAUCGCGAUCAAUAGCCGCGAUCCGAUUCAAGGGGUUUUCUGCAAAACAUAUUACCAUGCCGUCCCCGGCGCCUCCAUGGCUGGCUCCGAGCUCCCUGAACCGCGGCCUCCUCGCCGCGAUCGCUGCCACGUUCUCAGUCCCUCGCUUGCUCACCCACUCACCGCGCCACGAUCGGCUCGAGCUCCCAACACAUCCCUGUAAACGGCCGACCGACGGCGUCUUCUUGUUGGGUGAAUACCAGUCCGGAUGGAAUGUGUUCAUCUUGAAUGCCGGGAUGGAAAUGGAAUGUGUUCAUCUUGCAUCCAUACAAGGAGAAACAUGGAAACUUUUAUUCCUUGCGUUUGAUUCCAUUCUUCAGACAGAACAGAAGAGAACCUGUUGCCAUUUGCCAAGCAACUGAAGCAAAGCAAACAAAGACAAAGGAAUAUUCAUCACUCGUGAAUUCUCAUGUUCCAACUUGCAGCAUCACCUCACCAUUUCGUUAUUACCGUUGACUCGCAUGCAUACACAGACAGCCAAACGUUUGGUUCAACAAUCUCCACUGUUUCAAGAAGAAAACUAUGAAUGAACAUCAGCACAGAUUAUAAGCCAGAGUAGCUGCUUCCAAACAGGCUAAAGAUCCAGCCUUGCUGCUGUGUUAACUAGCUCAUUUUUCCUCAGACUCCCAAAACUUCCCUCGUUUUUCAGACCUCAGUACCUGCCAUACUACUAUGCUGCUACAAGCUUGGUAAAAGGAACAUUAGUGGGGCAAGUGACCACCUGAUCACUAAAAAGGUACCCUGCCUC